rnacentral:sRNA from 1 species
UAGCCGAAGCCGGAGACAUGGCGACCAGC